AACGAACGCUGGCGGCGUGGAUAAGACAUGCAAGUCGAACGACUAUUUUCAGUGUAGCAAUACAUGGGAGUCGGGAGUGGCGCAAGGGUGCGUAACACGUGGGCAAUCUGCCGCGAAGACCGGGACAACCUGCUGAAAGGCGAGCUAAUACCGGAUGUGGAAUUUGGGAGGCAUCUUCCGGAUUCUGAAGUUGGGGACCGCAAGGCCUGACACUUCGCGAUGAGCCCGCGGCCUAUCAGCUAGUUGGUGAGGUAACGGCUCACCAAGGCUAAGACGGGUAGCUGGGUCUGGAGAGGACGACCAGCCACACUGGAACU
rnacentral:rRNA from 1 species